GGUUCUAAAUUAAACUAUUCCUUG
rnacentral:tRNA from 1 species